AUUUAGCUCCUUUGCACCCCAUUAUUUCUAUUUCUACUUUGCACUUUCUUCCACUGCAAAUCUACCAUUCAACACCGUCCCCCAGCAGUUAAAUACAAGGUUAGGGCUAGGGUCAACACCGUCCCCCAGCAGUUAAAGACAGGGUUAGGGCUAGGGUCAACACCGUCCCCCAGCAGUUAAAGACAGGGUUAGGGCUAGGGUCAACACCGUCCCCCAGCAGUUAAAUACAGGGUUAGUGCAAGGGUCAACACCGUCCCCCAGCAG
rnacentral:lncRNA from 1 species